GCAUCACCCAGGAGGGUGCUCCUCUGGCCCCAGUGCAUUUGUGGAGUCAAGGCCAAAAGCCCUAUGUCUCCACCAGAGCCUUGCUGGAGACCUGACAAUGCGUGGGAAGAGCUGCUGCUGACCAGGCUGGAGGGGAAGAGAGCUCAGCAGACCCUGGGGCAUCACAGAAGGGAGUCCCAGGGACUUCUGCAGGCUCUGGGCCCCACUCGGCCUGGAGGAAGAUGGACCAGGUGGUCUUGCAUGAGCACCAAGAGCUGGAUAUGUUUUCUUUGGAUGGAAAUGUUUGUCUGGAGCUGCUGGAAGGCCACCAGUGCACUCCCACCAUCCAGAAAGCACCCAGGAGCCCAGCACCAGGAGCCAUGUUCCCUUUCCAGCCGGGCUGACUAUUUGUGCGAGCCCUCACGCGACUCCUGUGCCUCACAGCAGGCACAGCUUUGUCAAGGGGGAAGGAAAUGAGGAGCGCACAGGGAGAGUCUCACUGAUCCCAGCUGGCAGCUGGCUGCCUGGAGGCCACACAGGGCCUUUUCACAUCCUGCAUAAACAAGCAAGGGGCACGAAAGGCUGUUAUCAAAGAGCAUCGGUUCCAGCUGCAGCUCAGGUGGGGAUCCCCUAGGCUCACCUUGCCUCGGAAGUGAGGGCAAACACAAUUGCACUUCAACUUCUGCUGCAGAUCUGAUGAGGAAUACUUUGCAAUGAUUAUUAAUAACCGGAGGAGCACUUCCCUGACGUUGAUAUUGCGAGGGCUGACUCGUAGUUGGUUCUGUGCUUGGAAGGCAUUGAGUGCUUGCAGUUACUGUUUCUGUCAGGGACACCAGUGCUGAAUGAAAUAGGAGUCAUUGAAAACAAUGUUGCAACAAAGAUUGUAGAAGUACCUUCAAGGGUCAGGACCGACCUAUGAGAUAACCUUCUUUGCGUUCUAUUCAAGAGGCAGACCGAACUCCUUGUAGAUAUUAGUUGUAGUAAGAAAACUUGCUGGAAUAAAAGAAAAAUAAUAAUAAAUAACA
rnacentral:lncRNA from 1 species